GAUGAACGCUAGCGGCGUGCUUAACACAUGCAAGUCGAACGGAGUUUACAUGUGAGCGGAGGGUGCUUGCAUCUAACAAUCUUUUGUAAACUUAGUGGCGGACGGGUGAGUAACACGUGAGGAACCUGCCUCUCAGAGUGGGAUACCGUUUGGAAACGAACGCUAAUACCGCAUGACAUAUCUGGGACAUCCCUAAUACGUCAAAGAUUUAUCGCACAAAGAUGGGCUCGCGUCUGAUUAGCUAGUUGGUAAGGUAACGGCUUACCAAGGCGACGAUCAGUAGCCGGACUGAGAGGUUGAACGGCCACAUUGGAACUGAGAUACGGUCCAGACUCCUACGGGAGGCAGCAGUGGGGAAUAUUGGGCAAUGGCGAAAGCCUGACCCAGCGACGCCGCGUGAGGGAAGAAGGUCUUCGGAUUGUAAACCUUUGUAGACAGGGACGAAUAAAUGACGGUACCUGUAAAGUAAGCCACGGCUAACUACGUG
rnacentral:rRNA from 1 species